AACAGGUGAGUGGACUCAUUUAGGCAGGGAGCUGUCAUUAGCAGUCUGUAAGCCUUUGAAUGAUUGCUCAGUUCUUGCAUUUCAGGUGUUCCUGACUUUUGGUCCUGUCUCUCUGGACACACCGAGCAACUCCAAUAAUACUGCAAUAUGUUACAUCACCACUUAUGAAGUGAAGAUGGUGACUACAGUGGGAUUGUUCAGUUUGGUGUUCCUCUUUAACGUGAUCAUGUUUGGGGUGACAGUCAGACGUGUUUGGAUUCUUCGAUGUUCCCAAGAGUUUGGACAGGUCGACCGUGACAGAGCCAGAAAAGACCUGUUUACCCUGCUUGGAGUCAUCACUCUCCUCUGCCUUACCUGGGGCCUGGUCUUCUUCUCUUUUGGCUAUCUGACUACUCCUGGCCUCUACCUCUUCUGCAUCCUGAACUCCCUCUGCAAGAUGCUAGAUGCCUGUCACGAGGCACAGAUGGUGACCAAGGAUACACACACUUGAUGAUAGGUCGUCGAAUCU